CGGUCUCUACAGCAUCAUCGGGAGAAACAAUCUUGAAAACCCGUGUAAUUAUCUCUGUGGCCUUUGAAAAUAGUCUGGUGAGAGAGCAAAGCUUUUCAGAACACAGGCACAUAACCUUGCUUCAUGCUUCAUGAAAAACAAGUGCAUUUAUGAUGCCUGAGAAUGCCUUGUUGCAUUUCCCCCAUUAGCCUGUCUCUCAUUGGUGAAAACACCCGCACUAUAUGUAUUACGUUAUUUCAUUAGACUCAAGUCGCUUUUUCAAGUCUACAUAAGCCUCAAUAAAUACGAGAGCUGUGGUGGUGACCUGCUUCCCGACUGCCAAUCAGAGCGUUCUAUUUUUCCGUUUUCUUUCUUACUCUUCGUAAAGCUCAUGUAUCCUUCAUUUGUCCUUACUUCUUGCCUCACAGUGUAUUGGUAAGUGUCUUCUACUGCUAAUAUAACCGUGAUUCUAUUAUUUUGUAUCAUUACAAGUAGUAUUGCGAGAGUGGCUCUGUUCUUAGUGACAAUUACCUCAGCACACCUUCCACCAAUCAGCGCCAAGUAUUCAAGUCACGUGAUACUCUCUCCUCGCCGUCUCCUCAGCCAUUCGCCCUGCGCCCGCUGACGUGACGGGUGGAGCUCCGGUUGUGUUACGGCGGUGAAGUGGUGUUGCGUCUGUCCUCGGCGGGCAUGUUGUGGUGGACUACGGUGUGGAGGGAGAGGUGGAUGUGAAUAUGGCUGGCCUGUUGGUGGAUAGGGAAGAGUGGAUAGUGGAAGAGAGAUGUGGAGAGUAGGAAGGUGGAGAGGGAGGUGGAGGUGGCUAUGGCGGACGUGACUGGGUUGAGGUGGUGGUUGUGGUGGUGUUUGGUGUGUGUGUGUGUGGUUGUUGAGGAUGGAAGUGGUUUGGAUGACUAGGAUGAUGGCGUGACUGGCUGGUGAUGAUGGUGGUAGUUGCAGGGGUGGGGGUUGGAAUGGUUGUAGGGGGUGUUGGUAGUGAUGGUGAACGUGACUGGCUUGUGGUAAAGGUGGUUGUGGUUCUUGGGGAUGGUGGUGGUUGAGUAAUAGUGGUGGGGGUAGCGGACGUAAAGGUGUUGUGGUUGUUGGGUGUGGUUGAGGGUUGGGGUGGUGGUGGUAGUUGGGAGUGGUGAUGUGGUGGUGGGGGCGGUGGUGGUAGUGGUGAUGGUGACGCUACAGUUGUCAGGGUUUAUAGAGAUGGUCGUGUGUGUGUGUGUGUGUGUGUGUGUGUGUGUGUGUGUGUACUCCUGUAAUCAGCAAACUGCAGUCACUCGUUCGCUUGUUUCACCUCCCUGCUUCAGGCCUUCCUUCUCUCCCCUCCUCUCCCUCCCCGCUCCCUCGCCUGCCUGCCACCCUCUCCCCUCUCUUCCUCGCCUGCUCUCCCCUGCUCCUCGUAUCCUAGACCUCGUCGAGAAGACACACACCUGGGCGUCUCCAGGAUCCUUCUGACACACAGAGAUAGUAUGCAGCCAUCCUUGAGGGCUGAGGAAGGGGAAGGAGUGAAAGGAAGUGAAGAAGAGGCACAAGAAGAGUAGGAAGCUUGUGCAGGGCGGAGAGGAGCAGGUUAGUGUGCAGGCUGGAGGAGCAGAGGCUUGUUAGAUG